rnacentral:lncRNA from 1 species
CUGGGAUUCAGGCAAACAGAGUGCUAGUAGGAUUUUGCUAAAAAUUAAUGAUAUAAUGCCAGGAAGUAAUUUUACCAAUGUGGUUCACAGUGAGUAAAAUUUCUUAGCAAAGAUUCCUCUGGUUCUAAAGACCACUGACCACAAUCUGGCCCAUCAAGUGGUCCGAAGCGUGGCACAGAGUAUUGAGCCUUUGUGACAUCUUCCGUUAGUUGUGACAUCUGGAGCUCUCCCAUUGAACUCGAAGGCACACAGAACAUUGAAAAGAAUGAUAAUGAGAGAGACAACUACGAAUGGCUGUCGAGUCACAGAAGAAGUCAUGUGGAGUCAUGCUGAGGAGAAAUUCGAUGGACAUCAUAGGACACCCCCCCCAAAUGCCCAAGAUUGCUGGCAUCCCUAUCUCUGAAAGUAGAAGGAUGCAAAUGAACUAAAAAUUUAAAAAAAUGAUUGAAGUCUUAAGGUGGAGUAAGACUCACAUAUUCCUACCUCCUCCCACAUGUACAUCUUGUAAAUGAGCAAUGACAUCUCUACUGUGACAGAAGACAGAAUUUUUAUCUUUUGGAGAAAAAAAAUUAAAAGAUGUCAUAUUAAGGGAGAUGGUACCAUUCCAAAAACCAGAUGAUUAAAUGAAAGUUCCAAGAUGUGUAAAGAAUUUGAGUCCCCCCCAGUAACUGAUCCCAAGAUAAGGCAUUCACAUUAGUUUCUGUGAGGAAACUUCUAAGGAAAUCAUGUAUAAGUAAAGACCACAGAAUAAAGCUCCUCUUAUACACCCA